GAUGAAGAACGUAGCGAAACGCGAUAAGUAAUGUGAAUUGCAGAAUUUAGUGAAUCAUCGAAUCUUUGAACGCACAUUGCGCCCGCUGGUAUUCCGGCGGGCAUGCCUGUUCGAGCGUCAUUUCAACCCUCAAGCCCCCGGGUUUGGUGUUGGGGAUCGGCUCUGCCCUUCUGGGCGGUGCCGCCCCCGAAAUACAUUGGCGGUCUCGCUGCAGCCUCCAUUGCGUAGUAGCUAACACCUCGCAACUGGAACGCGGCGCGGCCAUGCCGUAAAACCCCAACUUCUGAAUGUUGACCUCGGAUCAGGUAGGAAUACCCGCUGAACUUAAGCAUAUCAAUAAGCGGAGGA
rnacentral:misc_RNA from 1 species